CUGCUUGCUGUACCGGUACAGCCAUCACCUUGUACCGGUACAAGCUGGCAGAUUCGUGGCAGCUUGGGUAUUUUGGUAAUUUCACAUUGGAUACCUACCUAUUUGAUCCCAGCACGGCUCUGGGACUUCAGUGGAGUAUGCAAGAGUUCUGGGAAAGCUUCUCUUCCCUUCUUCUCUCUCUCUCUCUAGGGUUUUUCUCUCUCUACGUCGAGUUCGCCGAUUUCGCUCGUUUUCGUCGCCGCGUGCGUUCUUCGCUAUUUGUGAGCGUUGCAGCACCUUUGUGCACGUGUGAGGGAGUGUUUUGGAAGGCUCUUUGCUGUCCUGAACCAGUAGGGUGCUGGUUGGAGGCUUGAGAAGGUCUUCAAGCUUCGUUGAGCUGAAUUUGUACCCUUAGAAGCUGGUUUGGAAGAUAUUCUAACCUGAGCGAGAGUGCGAACGAGCUUUGGAUCGUCGUGAGCUGACUUGUGAGAGCUCUUGGAGGCGUCUCUUGAGCAGCAUUGGGGCUUCGUUGAGCCGUUGUGGGACUUCUUGUGGAUAAUCGGAGCCUAGUACUAGGUGGGUCGGACCUAACCAGAGCAAGUGAAGCUCCUCUAUGUUCUAUAUGUACUAUAGAAUUGAUACAGUUGUAUGUUUUUGUGAUUGAUACAGAAUUUGAGACGAGUCACUAUAUUAUAGUGUUGAUAUGUAUACAUAUGAUUGAAUAGAACCUCUAUGAAGUAGAGAGUACUCAUGCAUAAGUGUCUUUAUGCC